GACGAACGCUGGCGGCGUGCUUAACACAUGCAAGUCGAACGGAAAGGCCCUGCGUUUGUGGGGUGCUCGAGUGGCGAACGGGUGAGUAACACGUGAGUAACCUGCCCUUGACUUUGGGAUAACUUCAGGAAACUGGGGCUAAUACCGGAUAGGAGCUCCUGCUGCAUGGUGGGGGUUGGAAAGUUUCGGCGGUGGGGGAUGGACUCGCGGCUUAUCAGCUUGUUGGUGGGGUAGUGGCUUACCAAGGCUUUGACGGGUAGCCGGCCUGAGAGGGUGACCGGCCACAGUGGGACUGAGAUACGGCCCAGACUCCUACGGGAGGCAGCAGUGGGGAAUAUUGCACAAUGGGCGGAAGCCUGAUGCAGCAACGCCGCGUGCGGGAUGACGGCCUUCGGGUUGUAAACCGCUUUCGCCUGUGACGAAGCGUGAGUGACGGUAAUGGGUAAAGAAGCACCGGCUAACUACGUG
rnacentral:rRNA from 1 species